AUCNGGCUACCAUGCAAGUCGAGGGGCAGCAUGGUCUUAGCUUGCUAAGGCCGAUGGCGACCGGCGCACGGGUGAGUAACACGUAUCCAACCUGCCGUCUACUCUUGGACAGCCUUCUGAAAGGAAGAUUAAUACAAGAUGGCAUCAUGAGUCCGCAUGUUCACAUGAUUAAAGGUAUUCCGGUAGACGAUGGGGAUGCGUUCCAUUAGAUAGUAGGCGGGGUAACGGCCCACCUAGUCUUCGAUGGAUAGGGGUUCUGAGAGGAAGGUCCCCCACAUUGGAACUGAGACACGGUCCAAACUCCUACGGGAGGCAGCAGUGAGGAAUAUUGGUCAAUGGGCGAGAGCCUGAACCAGCCAAGUAGCGUGAAGGAUGACUGCCCUAUGGGUUGUAAACUUCUUUUAUAAAGGAAUAAAGUCGGGUAUGNAUACCCGUUUGCAUGUNCUUUAUGAAUAAGGAUCGGCUAACUCCGUGCCAGCAGCCGCGGUAAUACGGAGGAUCCGAGCGUUAUCCGGAUUUAUUGGGUUUAAAGGGAGCGUAGAUGGAUGUUUAAGUCAGUUGUGAAAGUUUGCGGCUCAACCGUAAAAUUGCAGUUGAUACUGGAUAUCUUGAGUGCAGUUGAGGCAGGCGGAAUUCGUGGUGUAGCGGUGAAAUGCUUAGAUAUCACGAAGAACUCCGAUUGCGAAGGCAGCCUGCUAAGCUGCAACUGACAUUGAGGCUCGAAAGUGUGGGUAUCAAACAGGAUUAGAUACCCUGGUAGUCCACACGGUAAACGAUGAAUACUCGCUGUUUGCGAUAUACGGCAAGCGGCCAAGCGAAAGCGUUAAGUAUUCCACCUGGGGAGUACGCCGGCAACGGUGAAACUCAAAGGAAUUGACGGGGGCCCGCACAAGCGGAGGAACAUGUGGUUUAAUUCGAUGAUACGCGAGGAACCUUACCCGGGCUUAAAUUGCAGAUGAAUUACGGUGAAAGCCGUAAGCCCCAAGGCAUCUGUGAAGGUGCUGCAUGGUUGUCGUCAGCUCGUGCCGUGAGGUGUCGGCUUAAGUGCCAUAACGAGCGCAACCCUUGUUGUCAGUUACUAACAGGUUCCGCUGAGGACUCUGACAAGACUGCCAUCGUAAGAUGUGAGGAAGGUGGGGAUGACGUCAAAUCAGCACGGCCCUUACGUCCGGGGCUACACACGUGUUACAAUGGGGGGUACAGAGGGCCGCUACCACGCGAGUGGAUGCCAAUCCCAAAAACCUCUCUCAGUUCGGACUGGAGUCUGCAACCCGACUCCACGAAGCUGGAUUCGCUAGUAAUCGCGCAUCAGCCACGGCGCGGUGAAUACGUUCCCGGGCCUUGUACACACCGCCCGUCAAGCCAUGGGAGCCGGGGGUACCUGAAGUGCGUAACCGCGAGAGCGCCCNNGUAAU
rnacentral:rRNA from 1 species